rnacentral:rRNA from 1 species
GGGUCAGUAGGUCGGUCGUGCCACCGGUACGUACUGGUCUCACUGAUUCCUCCUUCCUGAAGAACCGUAAUGCCAUUAAUUUGGUGUUGCGGGGAAACAGGACUGUUACUUUGAAAAAAUUAGAGUGUUUAAAGCAAGCUAACGCUUGAAUACAUUAGCAUGGAAUAAUGAAAUAGGACGAUCGAUCCUAUUUUGUUGGUUCCUAGGAUUGACGUA